rnacentral:rRNA from 1 species
UACAGAGGUCUCAAGCGUUGUUCGGAUUCAUUGGGCGUAAAGGGUGCGUAGGUGGCGCCGUAAGUCAGGUGUGAAAUUUCGGAGCUUAACUCCGAAACUGCAUUUGAUACUGCGGUGCUUGAGGACUGGAGAGGAGACUGGAAUUUACGGUGUAGCAGUGAAAUGCGUAGAGAUCGUAAGGAAGACCAGUGGCGAAGGCGGCAUCCUGGGACCGAUACUGACACUGAGGAGCGAAAGCCAGGGGAGCAAACGGG